rnacentral:rRNA from 1 species
GAAACUGCGAAUGGCUCAUUAAAGCAGUUAUAGUUUAUUUGAUGGUACCUUACUACAUGGAUAACUGUGGUAAUUCUAGAGCUAAUACAUGCUGAAAAAUCCCGACUUCUGGAAGGGAUGUAUUUAUUAGAUCCAAAACCAAUGGCCUUCGGGUCUCCUUGGUGAAUCAUGAUAACUGCUCGAAUCGCAUGGCCUUGCGC